UACGUAGGGGGCAAGCGUUGUCCGGAAUCAUUGGGCGUAAAGCGCGUGUAGGCGGCCCGGUAAGUCCGCUGUGAAAGUCCAGGGCUCAACCCUGGGAUGCCGGUGGAUACUGUCGGGCUCGAGUCCGGAAGAGGCGAGUGGAAUUCCUGGUGUAGCGGUGAAAUGCGCAGAUAUCAGGAGGAACACCAAUGGCGAAGGCAGCUCGCUGGGACGUGACUGACGCUGAGACGCGAAAGCGUGGGGAGCGAACGGG
rnacentral:rRNA from 1 species